rnacentral:lncRNA from 1 species
GAUGCAUUGCAUUCUUUGUUGUUGAUGUGGAUGGAUGUUGGAUGACCCAUUAGCCCUCAAUAUGUAUGAUGAUUAAUGAAAGUCCAAGGCUGCCCAUGUCCACGCGUCCUGGCAUUUAUUUAUGUAUGAUGAUUAAUGAAAGUCUAGGGCUGCCCAUGUCCACGCGUCUUGGCAUUGUGUGAUGAUUAAGAGGAAGUCAUGCGGAGCUCCGUCGAGGGCCGGGCACAUUGGAAUUAGAGGG